CAUUUCUUUGUCUGACAGAUGUGUUUCUUUGACUAUUUUUUUUAUCUUAAUGCCAACUAACAUUCGUUGUUUUGUUUCAUACUUGUUGAGUUGUGCCAUUCGAUCAGAGCUGUGAUUGGCUGCAAGGUUUUAUAUCUCCUUAAAAGGAGAUGACAUGAAGACGUCACUGGUCACUGCAGGAGCUGUACAUAGAUGCUGCUCUUGUUACAUUAUUUUUUUAAUGUUCCCACAGUUGCUCUCGCUGUUGGAGGCUGAGGUUAGGAGGUAAAGAGUCAUGACAGUCAUUGGCUGGUUUUCAGUUAAUGCAAACCACACUAGUUCUCUAUUUAGGGCUGCAUUUGCUGCCUUUGCCUUUGUCCCCUCAGCUAAUUAAUUAAUUACUUAUUUUUCUGUUUAAAUGUAUCUUGACUUUGUCCCAAUGUAACUCACUACAAAACAACCAUGAAUUGUCUGGUGGUUUUACAGUGUUCAGAUAGAACAGUGUGUUCAGAGAGAAUCAUUUUACAAUCAGUACAAGUCAGACUCCUUAGUGGUCAAUUCAAAUGGUAGAAGCUUAAUUUUAAGUUAAGAAAAGCUUUUGAGGGUACAUAUGCAUUCUCACACAUACAGGGUCAACUGUAUGUGUGUUCAACUGUAAAUGUAGUGUCCAUUCAGCUGUGUUUGCUGUAGUGAAUUUGACCUUUUAUUAAAUCAGCUCUUGAUUAA